rnacentral:rRNA from 1 species
UACACUCCUGCGGGAGGCAGCAGUGGGGAAUUUUGGACAAUGGGCGAAAGCCUGAUCCAGCAAUGCCGCGUGUGUGAAGAAGGCCUUCGGGUUGUAAAGCACUUUUGUCCGGAAAGAAAUCCUUGGCUCUAAUACAGUCGGGGGAUGACGGUACCGGAAGAAUAAGCACCGGCUAACUACGUGCCAGCAGCCGCGGUAAUACGUAGGGUGCGAGCGUUAAUCGGAAUUACUGGGCGUAAAGCGUGCGCAGGCGGUUUGCUAAGACCGAUGUGAAAUCCCCGGGCUCAACCUGGGAACUGCAUUGGUGACUGGCAGGCUAGAGUAUGGCAGAGGGGGGUAGAAUUCCACGUGUAGCAGUGAAAUGCGUGGAGAUGUGGAGGAAUACCGAUGGCGAAGGCAGCCCCCUGGGCCAAUACUGACGCUCAUGCACGAAAGCGUGGGGAGCAAACAGGAUUAGAGACCCCUGUAGUCCCAU